AUUGAACGCUGGCGGCAUGCUUUACACAUGCAAGUCGAACGGUAACAGGGAGCUUGCUCCGCUGACGAGUGGCGAACGGGUGAGUAAUGCAUCGGAACGUACCCAGUCGUGGGGGAUAACGUAGCGAAAGUUACGCUAAUACCGCAUACGUCCUGAGGGAGAAAGCGGGGGACCGUAAGGCCUCGCGCGAUUGGAGCGGCCGAUGUCGGAUUAGCUAGUUGGUAGGGUAAAGGCCUACCAAGGCGACGAUCCGUAGCGGGUCUGAGAGGAUGAUCCGCCACACUGGGACUGAGACACGGCCCAGACUCCUACGGGAGGCAGCAGUGGGGAAUUUUGGACAAUGGGCGAAAGCCUGAUCCAGCCAUGCCGCGUGAGUGAAGAAGGCCUCGGUGUAAGCUACUUCUAGACGAAAGAAAUACGCAUCUUCUAAUACAGGUAGUGGA
rnacentral:rRNA from 1 species